CAGGAAGGUCGGCAACUCCAAAUGCGUGUUUUUAAAAAUCGCUCGUGUCCCCGCACCUCAGCCUCGGGCGUGGAAAAUGCGCCUGUGGCUGCGGGAGUGUGCCUGCUUGGGAGGAGGGACUCUGCGCAAAUACCCACACACGAGAGUGUGCGGCUUUCAAGUCGGAGAGGAAAAAACAGCCAAGAGCGGUGGAGUUUAGAAUACCUUCCCUCCCAGGGAUUAGAGGCGGGAGCAGAGACUGGAGGAAUGGGAGAGGGGAAAGGAUGGACAGACAUCUCCCUGCAGUGAACUCCUGGGAGAACAAUCGCCUUUGUUCAAAGCAGGCUGAGAGAGCAGCUUGGGAAGCACCGGAUCCGGGCUCGGGGCAGGUUAGGGCCUGCGUGCACGCGUGAGGUCUCCUGGUGACCAAGGGCCCAGGUGGAGGAAACUGAGGCAGAGACAGUCACCUGACUCACUUGCUUAUCCCUGCGUAUCCGCCCCAGCUGUCCCCAUGCCACAGAGAUGCUCCAACGCACGAGCAGGGCCUUCAGAUGCGUGCACCCUGCCGACAGUACACUUUCCCUGCCAUCUGCCGAUGGAGAAAACAGGAUUGCCUAGAAGCAAGAAGCUGUGAUUGAGAGGAACCUGAAGAAACAUUCUAGGCCCUCUGUUUUUUUCUUUGUCUUUAGAGAAAAGAUUCUGCUUCUCGUAGAAGGAAGAGGGAAGUGAUAAGGAGCCCGGACUCUACCUGUGGCGGACCAACUGACUGCUCACCCAGUUUCCUUCAGAAAUGUGGGACAGUUUAGCAAAUCUGAAAAUUGUGUGGACACACACACAAGCUCCUGCUGCUGGAGAAGAGAGGGGAUGCAUGCGUCCGCCUGGCCUGGCCCUCUGGGCCCACGGCCAGAACCCGGAGCUCUAAGCAGACCGCACGGUGCACACUGGGCCGCUGGCUUUCACAAGCUGGCUCUGCACGGGCCACCAGGUGGAAGAACUCUCUGAUCCUCAGGGAAGCCAAAGUCCAGUGGACUCUGCAGGGAACAGCCAAGACAGGCAGCAGGUGCCGGUGUCCCCCAUCUCCUGGAAUAGGGAUUUUAAGGGGCCUGGAAGCUGGUCAGAACAAGAUGCAAGGAAGCGCUGGUUCUUUUACCAGUUCUCGAAGGCGUCUGGGACUCAUGAAAGGGCAAGGGCCACUGUCAGAGCGGAAGACAGGACAGCCAGAGCGAGCACCCGGGUGAAUGUCCCAACACAGGAUGGUCAGCAGGGAACGAAUCCGGGUCCUGCCCAGGGCUCAGGUGUCGGGGGCUGGUGACAGGUGAGAACACGCCUUGGGCUGGUGCUCUCUCUGUGAAACACAACCACACUGUCUCCUGCUGACAGGCAGUUGGGACAAUAAACCAAGGAUUCUUCUGGUCAGAUAAGUGGUUUAGACUGAUAAGAUGAUGCUAUACAUUUGCCAAUGGCUGUCCCCUUUAAGGACUCAAGGUGGAGAUCAUGACAGAUGUGAGUGUCCGGGGAUGCUGUGGAACCUCACUGAGAGCACAAAGGGUGCUGACUUCUUUCCAUGGGGAGAGGUCUCCUUCCUCCGAUGCUUCACCUCGAGCCUCUUCAGCAUCCCCUUCCUUCCCUUUGCCUGCUGUGUUCUCAGCGAUGGUGACAGGCUUGAACCAUGACAACCACGGCCUUUUCCAUGCACAAGGCAAGGCCGCACACCAGGCCCCUGUGCUGAAUGUGUUCUUGUCGUUGUCGCUGAGUCCCAGCAGUACUCUUCUAAUUGGGCGUCAUUCUCGUUUUGCGGAGGAGGAGACUGAAGCUCAGAGAGAUGAGCCCCCUUGCCAAGUCCCACAGCUAGGACACAGAGGAACCCAGAUACACACGGUCGCCCUAACGCCAAUGUCUGUUAGCGUCCUGCCACCUUCCUUCACCUGCCACCCCAGUGCUCCAUCACAGGCUGGAGCUAAGAGUCCUCCCUGUCAGGGUCUAUCCCAGAGAAAAAGGCAAGAGGGAGAGCAGAGAGAACAGGACAGCUCUGUCAGUGUCUGUGUGUGUUGAACGUGUGUUGGCGUAUUAUGUAGUGUUGGGGUAUUAUAUGUGUUGGGGUGUCGUGUAGUGUUGGGGUGUUGUAGGUGUGUUGGGGGGAUGUUGUGGUUUUAUGCAGUGUUGGAGUGUUGUGCAUAUGAUGAUGUAUUGUGUAGUAUUGGGGGUUUUGUGUGUGUUGUGGUGCGGUGUAGUGUUGCGGGGUGUUGUGUAAUGUUGUAAUGUUGUGUUUGUCAGGGGUGUUGUGUGUGUGUGUGUUGACGCAUUGUGUAGUAUUUGGGGUGUUGUGUGUGUGUUGACCUAUUGUGUACUGCCGGAGGGUGUUGUGGUGGUGUGUGUGUCCGGGAUGGUGUAUGAGUUUAUUGGGGAGUUGUGUAGUGUUGAGAGUGUUGUGUGUGUGUUGGGGUGUUGUGAGGGUGUGUGUUGGCAGUUGUCUGUGACAGGAGGAGAGCAAGACUGUCUCAUGCUUGGUUGGUCGCUCCUUGGCUGAGGACUUCACUCCUCCUGCCAAAGUCCCAACUGUUGCUGCUUCCUGGCCCCCACCCACCCCCCCGACUGAAGAGAAGGAGCAGCUGGCUCUCCAUC
rnacentral:lncRNA from 1 species